rnacentral:tRNA from 2 species
GGCGCGGUAGCCAAGUGGUAAGGCCGGGGUCUGCAAAACCUCUAUUCGCGGGUUCGAUUCCCGCCCGCGCCUCCA